UUGAGAGCGAUCAGAUAAAUAGGACUUAAACCAGCUUAUUGUGAUUCCUUUACUGCCAACUAAAUGUUCUAGUCUCUAUAACAGGAUGGUAGGGUCAAUAGU